AUACGGAGGGUGCGAGCGUUAAUCGGAAUUACUGGGCGUAAAGGGCGCGUAGGUGGUUGGGUAAGUCGGAUGUGAAAGCCCCGGGCUCAACUUGGGAAUUGCAUUCGAUACUGCCUCACUAGAGUAUGGUAGAGGGAAGCGGAAUUCCCGGUGUAGCGGUGAAAUGCGUAGAUAUCGGGAGGAACAUCAGUGGCGAAGGCGGCUUCCUGGACCAAUACUGACACUGAGGCGCGAAAGCGUGGGGAGCAAACAGGAUUAGAAACCCCAGUAGUCC
rnacentral:rRNA from 1 species